GACAGAGGGUGCAAACGUUGUUCGGAAUUACUGGGCGUAAAGCGCGUGUAGGCGGCUGCGCAAGUCGGAUGUGAAAUCCCGUGGCUCAACCACGGAAGUGCACCCGAAACUGCGUAGCUUGAGUCUCGGUGAGGAAGGUGGAAUGCUUGGUGUAGAGGUGAAAUUCGUAGAUAUCAAGCGGAACACCGGUGGCGAAGGCGGCCUUCUGGACGAUGACUGACGCUGAGACGCGAAAGCGUGGGGAGCAAACAGG
rnacentral:rRNA from 1 species